UGGGGAAUAUUGGACAAUGGGUGCAAGCCUGAUCCAGCCAUGCCGCGUGCAGGAAGAAGGCCUUCUGGGUUGUAAACUGCUUUUACCAGGGGAUAAAAAGCCCCUGCGUGGGUAAUUGCAGGUACAUGGUGAAUAAGCCACGGCUAACUACGUGCCAGCAGCCGCGGUAAUACGUAGGUGGCAAGCGUUGUCCGGAUUUAGUGGGUUUAAAGGGUGCGUAGGCGGCCUAUUAAGUCAGUGCUGAAAUAUCCCGGCUUAACCGGGAGGGUGGCAUUGAUACUGAUGGGCUUGAGUAGAGUUGAGGUUGGCGGAAUUGACGGUGUAGCGGUGAAAUGCUUAGAUAUCGUCAAGAACACCUAUUGCGAAGGCAGCUAACUAAGCUCAAACUGACGCUGAGGCACGAAAGUGUGGGGAUCAAA
rnacentral:rRNA from 1 species